GAAAUGCGAUAAGUAAUGUGAAUUGCAGAAUUCAGUGAAUCAUCGAAUCUUUGAACGCACAUUGCGCCCGCCAGUAUUCUGGCGGGCAUGCCUGUUCGAGCGUCAUUUCAACCAUCAAGCCCCCGGGCUUGUGUUGGGGACCUGCGGCUGCCGCAGGCCCCGAAAACCAGUGGCGGGCUCGCUGUCACACCAGGCGUAGUAGAUUUUUCGUCUCGCCCAGGGCGUGCUGCGGGUUCCGGCCGUUAAAAAGCCUCUCUUUUAACCCAAGGUUGACCUCGGAUCAGGUAGGAAGACCCGCUGAACUUAAGC
rnacentral:misc_RNA from 1 species